rnacentral:tRNA from 1 species
GCGAUCGUGGUGGAACGGUAGACACGCUAUCUUGAGGGGGUAGUGCCCUAGGGUGUGAGGGUUCAAAUCCCUCCGAUCGCACCA